rnacentral:tRNA from 1 species
CUAGCUGUGGCUUACUUGGUUAAAGCGCCGAACUAUCCAUGCGGAGUCGUAGGUUCGAAUCCCACCAGAAAAA